GCCCAGAUCGUCUAGUUGGUUAGGAUGAUACGUUGUGGUCUCUAUAUUACGCAGCGAUCCGUGUUGACGGCGGUUCGAAUCCGCCUCUGGGCA
rnacentral:tRNA from 1 species